rnacentral:rRNA from 1 species
UUCUGUGGGGACGGAGCGGCCGGCCGCAACUUGCGGUUCGAGCUAGCGCUUUCCCUACAUCCUGCCGCGAACCGUGCUACCAUUAGUUUGGUGGCGCCGGGGAUCGGCUCGUUUACUUUGAGAAAAAUAGAGUGUUCAAAGCAGGCCACACGCCUUGAAUAAGUUAGCAUGGAAUAAUAAUAAAGGACUUCGGUUCUAUUUUGUUGGUGUUCGGGACUGAAGUAAUGAUUGAUAGGGACAGUUGGGGCGGUCAGUAUUCCAAAGCGAGAGGUGAAAUUCUUAGACCUUCGGAAGACUAACAGCUGCGAAAGCGUUCCGCAAGGAUGUUCCCUUUGAUCAAGAACGAAAGUUGGGGGAUCGAAGACGAUCAGAUACCGUCGUAGUCUCAACUAUAAACUAUACCAGCUAGGGAUCGGCCAACGUUAAAUUAUUCGACUUGGUCGGCACCUUAUGAGAAAUCAAAGCAUCUGGGUUCCGGGGGGAGUAUGGUCGCAAGGCUGAAACUUAAAGGAAUUGACGGAAGGGCACCACCAGCCGUGGAGCCUGUGGCUUAAUUUGACUCAACACGGGAAAACUUACCAGGUCCAGACAUAGUAAGGAUUGACAGAUUGAUAGCUCUUUCUUGAUUCUGUGGGUGGUGGUGCAUGGCCGUUCUUAGUUGGUGGAGUGAUUUGUCUGGUUAAUUCCGUUAACGAACGAGACCCCAGCCUGCUAAAUAGCGUGGUUGAGCUUUGCUCGGCGCAAGCUUCUUAGAGGGACUAUGAUGCGCGAUAGCACAUGGAAGUUUGGGGCAAUAACAGGUCUGUGAUGCCCUUAGAUGUUCUGGGCCGCACACGGGCUACACUGGCGCCUGCAACGAGCAUAUCAGCUGGCCCGAGAGGGUCUUGGCUAAUCUUUUGAACCGGCGCCGUGCUUGGGAUUGACCAUUGCAAUUGUUGGUCAUGCAACGAGGAAUGCCUUGUAAACGCGAGUCAUCAACUCGCAUUGAAUACGUCCCUGCCCUUUGUA